rnacentral:lncRNA from 1 species
GGAAUAUAAGUGAAUCAUGGGGUGGUUUUCCUCAUACUGUUCUCAUGGCAGUGAAAAAGUCUCACAAGAUCUGAUGGUUUAAUAAGGGGUUUCCUUUUUCACUUGGCUUUCAUUCUCCUUAUCUACCACCAUGUAAGACAUGCCUUUCGCCUUCCACCGUGAUUAUGAGGCCUCCCCAGCCACGUGGAACUCAUACACUUAAUAAUUCAUUACCUAUUAAGCUUCUUCUCAGCUGAGGUCAUGCAAAAAUGACUCACUUGCAUAUGAUACUUUCCUUGAGGAAUUAAACCAUAAACUGUAUCCUUUUGUGCAAAUCCCUUACACAUCUCAGUCAUGAAUCUGUAUGGCUCUCACUUCAUUUAUUCUGGCUUAGUUAUCAGCAUAAGCCUGUAAAAGUCAAAUUUUGCUAACAAAUGGAAGUAAUAGCAAAGAAAGCUAAGGACAAUUUAUUUCCCUUAGGAGAUGGGAAGCAGAGGUACAAACAACUUUUGUUCCACCACCCUUUUCACUUAAAACACACACACACACGCACACACACAUGCACGCACACACACACACAUACACUAUCUUACUACUUGAAAAUGAGGGCAUUAGAGUCUAGAUAAAAGGGACAGAGGGACAGAGUACACUAAUGUGAAGAUCUCUUGUCAGUUGUACAUUCUGAAUAAACAUUUCAUCUUACCUUAAUGCAUAGGAAACUCGAACUUGUUUUCAGAACAAUGAAGUCAUUACUCCUAACUCAGUAUUACUUCUAAAUUCUGGGCCUAGUUCAAAUAUUAUUGUAUAUAUUUUAUUUAUUUGCAAAGUCAUCUACUUGCAUGUAAAGCUGACAAGACUGUAAGUAAUUAAGCCAGGUGUGUCCCCUCAUCUUUUUAUCCCCAGCAUAUAUUAGGAAUGAGCUGAUACAGCCCAUUCCUCAAAUCCUGAGUAGUCCGGCCUUCCAUAUCCCUGGCCAUAUUCCUCAUUCACCAUUACCAGCCCUCCUUGCAUUGUGUAUUGAGGGAGAAGAUUCCUAGAAGCAACAUUCAUCGUCUCUCUUUUCAAUGAUGGACAACUCUCUGCUGUGCCAAAUAUACUAACUUUAACCACCCACUGCCAAACUCACACCUCCUUGUUCAACAAGCCAGUUACGGGCAGUGAAUGAAUCUACGAUGCUGAACAGCCCCGUGGGCAUCUUCUCACUGGGCACUGGCUAGAAUGCAGUUGGAUUAGACUUUCACAAUUGCUUUGUUUUCAAGCCAGGAAGGAGAAAUUGAAGGCAAUUCACCACCUUUCUAUAUCCAAGAUGAAAACACAGCACUCUCCUAAACUUCAGAAGUAUAACUCAGUGGGCCUUUGAUCAAGCUACAGUUUUGAACUGAUUACAGCUUUUGAAGCCUCAGAAGAUUUAAAGACCCACAUUGUUAACAAUGGUGUUUUAGGUGUGUGGCGUAUUAGAGGAGUCGGCUAAUUCUAAGUCCUCAAGUGCUCAGAAAACAACAUUAAAAAGUCUGACAUUUGAAAAGUAUGGAAUUAAACAUCAUGGAACUGGCUUUAAGAAGGUAUCCAUUCGUGGCAUGAAAAUGUGAAGAACUUUCUUUCUUUGCAAUGUGAGUUCAAGGAAACGCCCAAGAGUGGAUGUUCCAUCGUAAAUGCUCUGCCCCCAGCUUUUCAAAGGACACAGAAAUUGCACCCAGCAAAGAUGUCCUGUCAAAAUGAUUUAAAAGAAGAAAAAGAAAGUUGCUAGAGGGGAACUGGUACUCCAGAUCAAAAAACAAUUUUAAGUGGUCUAUUUUGGUGGUCUGUGUUGAGACAUAUAACAGCCCAGGCUGCUGUUUUUCCAAGAGGUUAAAUUUCAAAAAGAGGAAACAACAGCAAACAGGCUGCCAAUUUACUCAACAAUGUCACAACUGGCUGGAGCUCUGUUCAAAGCAAAACCGCUGAUUUACAAAUUCCUGGAUUUACUCUUAAAUAUUAACACUUCUUAGGAAACUUUAGACCUUACAUGUCACAUUUAUGACUCCUAGGCAGACACAACCCUCUCCAAACACAUGGUCCUCAUGACAACUCUUUGCCAUGUAUUUCAGCCCCACUAAGGGAAGCCACUGUCAACUCAACCUGUGAUGCCAAGAAGCAGCCCAGGUACCAAGGGACAUAGACUGGAGUCAACAUUAGAUGCGUUUCUGUAUGGUGUAGCUUGGAGGAGGAUGUUUACAGCACAAUUCCGCAAUAAUAUGCUGUAGCAGACAGAAGUUUCCCUUCUAUCAGACAAAGAACUAGUCAGGGAAGGCAAGCUGGCUAGACCACGGUUCAGUUUUUCUCAUCUCCUUUCUGCAAGUGGAAAAUCUGCUGGCUGGCAGUGGAAAUAAUAGGGAAACCACCUCAGAAUGUUGGAGAAGAGGAUGGGGGAGGAGUUGCAGCUCAGGAAUCCUUCAAAGAAGACAUGUGGGGAGAGGAAGACAGCACACAGAAGCAGGGAGAAGUUAAGAGUAUGAACCUUACCAACAGGUAAAAAUGUGUCAUAUUAAUUUUUUCAACAUCAACAAACACGUCAAAAGAUGGAGCACUGAAAGCUGCAUUUUAAACAAAUGCCCCAGUCCCACUGAGAAGUGACAGCAUGCUGGCAGCCCUCGCAGCCCUCGCUCGCUCUUGGCACCUGCCCUUGGCACCUCCUCGGCCUCAGCGCCCACUCUGGCCGCGCUUGAGGAGCCCUUCAGCCUGCCGCUGUACUGUGGGAGCCCCUUCUUGGGAUGGCCGAGGCUGGAGCCGGCUCCCUCAGCCUGCGGGGAGGUGCGGAGGGAGAGGCAUAGGCGGGAACCGGGGCUGCCCGCGGCACUUGCGGGCCAGCUAGAAUUCUGGGUGGGCUUGGUGGGCCCGGCACUUGGAGUGGCCAGCCGGCCCCGAGCAGUGAGGGCUUAGCACUUGGGCCAGCAGCUGCGGUGGGUGCGCCGGGUCCCCCAGCGGUCUCGGCCCACUGUCGCUGCGCUAGAUUUCUCGCCGGGCCUUAGCUGCCACCCCGCAGGGCAGGGCUCGGGACCCAAAGCCCGCCAUGCCUGAGUCCCGCCCCUCCCCGCCCCCCC